AUGAACGCUAGCGGCAGGCUUAAUACAUGCAAGUUGAGGGGCAGCAUGAUAUACGCGAGUAUAUUGAUGGCGACCGGCGGACGGGUGAGUAAUAGGUAGGAGACCUACCUCAUACAGGGGGAUAGCAUAGAGAAAUCUGUGGUAAUACCCCAUGAGGUUAUAUGAAUAGAGGCAUAUAAUCAAAGCAUAAGCGAUUAUGCGGUAUGAGAGGGGCCUACUGACCAUUAGCUAGUUGGUGAGGUAAGGGCUCACCAAGGCGAAGAUGGUUAGGGGUUUUGAGAGACGACCCCCCACAUUGGAACUGAGAGACGGUCCAGACUCCUACGGGAGGCAGCAGUAGGGAAUAUUGGGCAAUGGGCGAAAGCCUGACCCAGCCAUGCCGCGUGAAGGAAGACGGCCUUAUGGGUUAGUAAACUUCUUUACUACGCGAAUAGAGGUUAGUACGAGAUACUAAUAGGAAGGUAGUGUAGUAAAAAGCACCGGCUAACUCCGUG
rnacentral:rRNA from 1 species